ensembl:lncRNA
CAUAGUUGAAGAUCACCCCAGACCACAUCUACGAUCAUCCCCACAUGUGGCACAUAGUUCUAAUGACCCCAAUUUCAGCUCGCCAUGGAGUACCUCGCUCUUGGUUCGAGCAAACCCUCUGCUCUGAUACCUUGUCUAUUAACACUGUCGUUCCUGUAACACUGCACCGAUACCGUGCCGAUUAACACUGUCAUAGCAUUAACACUCUGUAUCGAUACCAUGCCUAUUAACAGCGCCAUACCUGUAACACUAAAACCUUUCGUCCAUACGAAGUUGGACAUGAAUAUAAACGUGGCAUAUAAUAUAAUAUAUAUAAGUAGCAACUAUAAAAUCUUUCAUUCAUUUUUUCUCCAAUCAGUUCUGCUGUGCUGAGAUUGAUUUAGGUACAUUUUCCUCUUUUGAAUAUCUGCCCAUUGUGCUCAAGUCUGAUUCAAAUAUGAUUAUUCUAACACUAUAUAGACCAUCUAAGCAAUAUAUGAGCUUGUAUCAAUCACUCUUACUAUUCAUGACCGAUAAUCCUUAUUGAUAAAAAUAUUCAUACUAAUAACAUUUAUGAAUGUAUGAAUCUCUUACAUAACCUAUAACUGACACAACAUGUUAUUAAAACUGCCCAUCAACUGGGUAAUAUACUAAUAUUUUAGUGUCUGACAUUACUGUCUCUGAUAAUUACCGUGUCCUCUUUCAUGCUCUGUUAAAUACAGUAUGUCUAGGAACAAAGGAGAAUUCACAACUCAAAAACGGUACUUUGCCACCGAAGAAUGGAAAUUUUAUGAACUUGCAAACUCUCUUGAUGUAACUAUGUAACUAUGUAACUCCCACCAUUCAUUAAACUAAAUGGUCGAUGCUUUAAAUAGCAACUUAAGAAACACAUUGGACAGUAUUGUGCCAGUUAAGAUGAAGAGGAGAAGAAGAGACUGUGUAAAACAGCACAGAGAGAAAAGCCCACUUUUCAAGAUCAUUGCAGAGAAUUGCACCAACUCUAGGGUACUGUGUUCAACCUCUGACGGCCAACCUGGGCACAUUGUGUUAUCUCUUGGUAUGAAAUGAGCCUUACAAAUAAAGUUUGAUUUUAUUUGAUACAUUAUUAAAUCCUUUUCCAACUUCUGGCAUUCUAAGCGUGAAGAAUUUGCUCAAUCCCUAAACAACAAAAUAACCACUAUUAGAGUUGAUGCUGUCAGGAGUACCAGUAAGCCAUGUGAUCUGCCCAAUAGCAAGAGGUAGAACCCUGUAAUAAGCCAGCAACUAUGAGGAACUUCAAUAGCAGGAGGUAGAACUCUGUAAUAUUGUAAGAUAGAGUAAAUUGCCA